rnacentral:rRNA from 1 species
UGUUUAUAAAAAUUUUUAUAAAUAAAACCUGCUCGAUGAAAAUUUAAAUAGCUGCAAUUUUUGUACUAAGGUAGCAUAAUCAUUUGUUUUUUAAUUUAAAACUAGAAUGAAAGGUAAAACAAAUUAUUUCUUUAUUCAUUAUUUUAUUUUAAUUUAUACUAAAUAUAAAAAUAUAUUUUUACAAAAAAAAGACGACAAGACCCUAUUGAACUUCACUUCAGUUUAGCUGGGGGAAGCUAAAUAAUAAAUAUUUUAUUAUAAAUUUUUAAAUGACCCAAAAUAUUUGACUUUAUAAUCAAGUUACCAUAGGGAUAACAGCGCAAUAAAUUUUUAAAGCUCUUAUCUAAAAAUUUGUUUACGACCUCGAUGUUGAAUUAGAAAUCUUUAUUAAGCAAAAAUAAUAAAAGUAGGUC